rnacentral:lncRNA from 1 species
CCCCUGCCACGAAUAACACGAGGUGGCGGCUCGAUCCACCGUGGCUUGGAUCAACGGUAACCAUUCUCUUGUGCAUCAAAUUUUAGGAGGUAAAUAACGUUCAACAGUCGUAUCUCAAGUUCAUGUCCUUUGCCUACAGAUGAAUGCUUACUUGAACAAUGCCGAAGAAGUACGAUUGAAAACUGUCUUCUGGACGGAAAUGAACAAAGGAGACCUUCAGGUAGGCAGCUCACGUUUGUCCUGCCAGCACAUUUUAAAACUCACAGCAAAAGCUGCACAAGCUGCUGCUCUGUCUGCAAUUUCGUCUGGAACUGGAUCCGCCGCUGACAUCUCUGCUGCUGCUGCCGCUGCUGUUGCGAGCUCCAAAAGGAUUGUGCAUUUCCACGAAACAACUCUUGUUUGUUCCUCACGCCAUUGCACUAGGAAGUAUUGAAAUAAGGCUUGCAAUACAAAGCAAAUUCAAAACCAGAGCAAACAACACAGUCCGCAACUGCCAGAUACUCCUGCUAUCAUCGAGGAAUCGGCCAACCCCAUGCAUCCAAACAUGGCUCACUACAGCUACAUAAUCGAUCUCCUCAGCUGCACCGCACACCCUUGUGGCCAAGGAGCUCAAGAAGGGAAACAAUGCAAGCAAAUUGUUU